AACUACAGUUCCCCUAGUUCUCUGGCACUGAGCCAGGACAGUUAAAGUGAUCUUAAACUGGAUUAUUUCUGCACUGUGUGAAAACAGGAGUAGAUCCCCUGUCCUGGAAAACAACUUUGAAUUGACUGUGAGCAAAGUAUAGAUAAUAUUAUGGGAUACUAUACUUUGUGAAGUAAGUCUUUAGCCACUGAGCACUAAUAAGGUUUUCAGUUAAGCAGAAAAAUCAGCCACAGUUCUGUAAGUAUCUACCACAAACUCUUCAAAUCAUUUUGAAGUGAUGACUGCGUGGACCACUUUCUCUGUGAGAAAAAGGUAAAAGAUAGAGCAUUUCUAGAUUUUAUAUAGAGAGAAGGAAGUGUUUUUGGGGUGGGGGAGAACUGCAUAAAUACAUCUUUCAUCUUUAUGUCAACAAAUAAUCUUUUCUCCUAAUACUAGAUCUAGUUAAUCUUUUUGGUAAUAGGUUAAGGGGAAACCUUAGACAUUAUGAAUUGACGUAAAAGCAAACCAGUGUUUUGUGCAACAAUUGUAAUUUUCCUGAAGACUUGAAAGACUUGGGAAUUAAGUAGUUCAUUUAGGAGAGGUUUUGUUCCCCAUAAAGUAAGUUCCAAAAAGUUACUGAGUUAAGAAGCUUAACUAGCUUGUCAGUGAUUGUAUCCAACAUUAGUCUAGUGGGAAAAGUAAACAAGCUAGCAACAUUUUUCUAGCAGUUGCACACAAUGCUUAGGGAGGAACAAUGAACACAAGCAACACCUAGUUGAAGUCAUUUGUUUGCAAUUGACACUGCCACAAGUAUUAACCUGAGAUUUCUGCAGAUGAAAGGAACUUGCUCCAGCAUAACAUAACUGGAUACAACCUGAGACAAGAACUUAGAGCUAGAGAACAAAUGUUCAUAACAUUAAAUUGUAUCUUAUGUUUCAUUUAUUCCAUUUAGAUUGCAUCUUUUAAAUAUUCAGCUGGUAUUCAGAGUCAGAAGAUGCCCAGCUUUUUAAAAUUCCUAAUAGCAUUUUCUUCUGUAGCAUUCAUAGACAUGCCAGUUUUGUGUGAUGUAUUUGGGUUUGUUUUUAACCCAAUAAUGCCUCUAAUUUACAAGCCCACUUUGUCAUUUGCAUUUUAAUUUCAUGCCUUCAUAUUACUGAGUCUUGUUCUGUUUGGCAUUCAGCAGUAAUUGCAAUGUUUUGGUUCUCCCUUAGUCUACUUUAUUUGUCUUUUGGUCCAUUAAAUGUAGCAGUACACUGCAGACCACCCAGUCAGUUUUCCCUGCCUAAGGGUGUGUGUGUGUGUGUGUGUAUGUGCAGCUGUCAUAGGGCAUAGUUACUAUGGUGCAUCAUGUUGGAAUGUCUGCAAUGUCUCAAAAACAGAAGAUUUUUUAAAAGGCUACUUGCCAAAUAGUUAUUAAACAUAAUAGUUCAUUGCUGUUUUGAUAAAAUAACCAAGUUUCCCCCCGAUUAUGAGCUAAAAUAGAAUGAAAAUAAAAUAGAUUUGCCCUAGGCAAACACACAGAACAAAAACUAGAUGCUAUUAUAACAUAUUUAGUGGUUUAAAAAAACCAGAUCAUUAACCAGUUCUACAUCACCUCUUUCUAUAAUGCUGUUGUAAUGCCAUGUCAAAGGAUUUUUAAAUUAGUAGGCAGAGUAUCUACUGCACAUCACUUUAAUCCAUAUGUUAUUUCUGUCAAGCAAUUAGUUUAAACAUAACACACCCCAAUAGUGACAUGAUUAUAUUAUUAGCCAUUGAGAAUUUAUUAAGCAUUCUAUCAAUGUACUUAUGCGGAAGGGGUGCUUUGGAGAUACUGAUAAGCCUUUGCUUGUCUUGGAGAUGGUAUACAGCACAUGUACAUUUCUCAGUUUUAACUGCUAAGUCAUGCUAAGUCGUGUAUCACCAAGAAAUUAAAAGAACCUAUCUGUUUCCACUCUGUCUUUAGCUUAGAGUAUUAGUGCAUGGAGUUAAGCAGCAAAACUAAUAGAUCACAGGAAAACAAAAGCUAUUGGCUGUAAGAAGAAGAUGGAAUUUUCAGAUAUAGCCAGGGCUCAUGGAGAUUGAUUCAGAACAAUCUCAAGAGAAAGUAAUGAGAGGCCCCUUGUCGGUUAACAUGCAGAGACAGCAGUGAUAAAACCUGGAUCAGCCACAGGUCUGCUGGAGAGGGCAUAGCAGGAGAUGCCCUGCCUCUUUCUCUCCUGAUGUGCUUUCUUCACCUUGGAAGUCUGCUGUGGAUGGCAUAACAAAACAAUUCUUUGAGUGUUAGUUUCAAAGGUGCUACAAGAUCUCUCUACACACCACUCUUACCAAUAGUUUUCUGUGUGCUCUUGUGAAGAGUAUUGACUAAUGGCAAGCCAGCUCACCCCUGCCAACCCCUACUCGCUGGGAACAGUAGUUACUGCCCCUUCUUUUCCCACUGUAAAGCAUCUGCACAUUUCUCCUGGAAAAGAUAACCUCUGGUGUUUUGUGCUGUGAACCUCUUUAAAACUAGUGGUGGGUUGAGCAAAAUUUGUGGCUAUAUCACCUCCACUGGAAUACAUUU